rnacentral:rRNA from 1 species
AUUGAACGCUGGCGGCAUGCCUUACACAUGCAAGUCGAACGGUAACAGGUCUUCGGAUGCUGACGAGUGGCGAACGGGUGAGUAAUACAUCGGAACGUGCCUAGUAGUGGGGGAUGACUACUCGAAAGAGUGGCUAAUACCGCAUGAGAUCUACGGAUGAAAGCAGGGGAUCGCAAGACCUUGUGCUACUAGAGCGGCCGAUGGCAGAUUAGGUAGUUGGUGGGAUAAAAGCUUACCAAGCCGACGAUCUGUAGCUGGUCUGAGAGGACGAUCAGCCACACUGGGACUGAGACACGGCCCAGACUCCUACGGGAGGCAGCAGUGGGGAAUUUUGGACAAUGGGUGCAAGCCUGAUCCAGCAAUGCCGCGUGCAGGAUGAAGGCCUUCGGGUUGUAAACUGCUUUUGUACGGAACGAAAGGCCCUGGGUUAAUACCCUGGGGUCAUGACGGUACCGUAAGAAUAAGCACCGGCUAACUACGUGCCAGCCGCCGCCGUAA